GAUGAACGCUGGCGGCGUGCCUAAUACAUGCAAGUCGAGCGAACGGACGAGAAGCUUGCUUCUCUGAUGUUAGCGGCGGACGGGUGAGUAACACGUGGAUAACCUACCUAUAAGACUGGGAUAACUUCGGGAAACCGGAGCUAAUACCGGAUAAUAUUUUGCACCGCAUGGUUCAAAAGUGAAAGACGGUCUUGCUGUCACUUAUAGAUGGAUCCGCGCUGCAUUAGCUAGUUGGUAAGGUAACGGCUUACCAAGGCAAGGAGGCGUAGCCGACCUGAGAGGGUGAUCGGCCACACUGGAACUGAGACACGGUCCAGACUCCUACGAGAGGCAGCAGUAGGGAAUCGUCCGCAAUGGGCGAAAGCCUGACGGAGCAACGCCGCGUGAGUGAUGAAGGUCUUCGGAUCGUAAAACUCUGUUAUUAGGGAAGAACAUAUGUGUAAGUAACUGUGCACAUCUUGACGGUACCUAAUCAGAAAGCCCCGGCUAACUACGUG
rnacentral:rRNA from 1 species